rnacentral:rRNA from 1 species
UACGGAGGGUGCAAGCGUUAAUCGGAAUUACUGGGCGUAAAGCGCGCGUAGGUGGUUAUUUAAGCUAGAUGUGAAAUCCCUGAGCUCAACUUAGGAAUUGCAUCUAGAACUGGAUGGCUAGAGUGCAGCAGAGGAAGGUGGAAUUCCACGUGUAGCGGUGAAAUGCGUAGAUAUGUGGAGGAACAUCAGUGGCGAAGGCGUCCUUCUGGGCUGACACUGACACUGAGGUGCGAAAGCGUGGGUAGCGAACAGG